GUUUACCAGGUGUGUGCCGUCCAUCCGCCCUUCACCUGAGAGCUAUUUCCCGAGGGUCUGCUCUGUGACAGUCCCCGCCUGUAGAAGCACGUGGGCACAGAAGGAGCCUUCCUGGGCAUCUCAGAUGUCUCUCUUGCCAUCCAGUGAUGGUGACAAUUGAGCUGUGCCAGAACAACCAAGGCUGGAUCGACUGGCUCUCACCACCUGGACCAUGAUGGACUGUCCUUCUCAGGCUUCCAGCACAGCCACCUCCUGCCGGGGGAUGCAGGAAUCAGGCCACCUCCGUCUGUCCUUGCCAGAAACUAGGCUGCACCACAAGAAGCUCCUGGCUUAGCCCUGGAUCCUAACUGUCACGUGGUCAGAGAAACUGGUAAUGGUUUUGUGUUGCAUGUUGAAUUGUUUAGUGACAGAAAGAUUGUGUUCAGUUUCCUGAGGUGGCUGAAGUGUGGAGCCUGAUGGCAAUUUAUUCACCAGGAAAUGUGCUUCCCAGCAGGAGGGUUGGUCCCCUGUCCAGAGAUGAAAGCCCCCUCAUGUGUGACCUGUGCCUCCCAGGAGAGCAGCUGUAAGCUAGUUUAAAUCUGACCAAGUUCUGUCUACACAGUAGAUUUAGACCUCCCUAGAUUCUGUCUACACUGGAUGUUUAGACCCAAGAGUGAUCUGUCUACACUGAGCACAUUUAUACCUAGAUGUGUUCUGCCUACACUGGAACAUUUACCAUGAAGGUGUCCUGUCUACACUGAGUAUAUUUAGACGUGACCAAGUUCUGUCUAUACUGGGAAAUGUAAACAUGACCAUCUUUUUAACGCCAAGGACAUUUAGACCUGACCUGUGCUGUGUACACAGACUAUGGAGACCUGGGUAGAGACUCAGCUUGGCCUCCGUCUUGGGAGUUUCAGGGUGGACAUGGAGAACUGGGUAGAGAGCCAAGGUGGCCCCAGCUCUGGAGCUUUGGGGGGACCCAGCCUGUAAGCUCCCCGCCUGCAUCUGGAUGUCAGUGCUCAGAGGUCUGGUGUAGAGAUGACGGGGGUGCUUGUCUGGGUAACACCUCUGCUCUGGGUUUGGUUACAUGGCCCUCCUAGGAGUUGGUGCUGGGAGGAAUGGGGGGAGUUGUUCCUCCCCCCAGAAGGUUCCCUUCCCUGGAGCUGGUGAGGACUCCUCAGGUGAGCUACCUGGUGAUCAUUCCCAUUCAUCAGCACACACAGGGCGAGGAGGGCAGCAGGUUUACCUGGUGAAUUGAUUGCUGGGAAUGUGGAUCCCAGCUUAAGGCUGAUCGACAGCAGGUGUGCCGGCCUCUGUGCUCACCUUCCAGGCACACUCAGCAGAGUCGGGACCUGCCUCUCCUCUCUCGGCCCCGCUGUCCCAUGAAUUUUCUCAACACUUCAGCGAGAAAGGAGAGGGCCAAGCCCACCAGAAGCAAGGUAGUGUGUUCCACCUUAGCAUGAAAAUGUUAGAAACAAUUAAAAUCACGCAAAACCAAAGAGAAAACGAGAGGGGCCUGACUGCUCUGGGAGGACUGUGGGGACGGGAGUUGACCCUGCACUUAUUUCUACGUCGCUGGAGGUCCCAGGGACCUGGACCAUUCCCACGCUGGGGGCCCAUCCAGGGCAGCCAUGGUGUUGUGACCGAGGGGACACAUGACCCCAGCUGCAGGGUCUGGGGAGGUAUAGUCUCACCCCAUCUGUGUGGGUCAGGUUCCUGUGCAGGGGAGACCCCACAUUUGCUCUUUGCCUGUAGUGUGUCUUGUUCCUUCUGAGCUUUCCAGCAUCUGAAUUGAAGGUGUUGCUCUGAUUAACCUGUGGUCCCUUCUCUUCAUCUCAUCAUAUUCACGUGAGGACAGGCACCUUGGAGCAGGUUGCUGCUCUGUGUUCUGAGUGACAGCCCUUGACGGUAUCGUAUUAACACCAUAGCACAUCUCAUCUGAUCCAUGGGGGUCACCACUGUCUGGGUUCCCCUGGACAAAGCUCAGGUGGCACAAACUAUCUCCCCUAAAAAUGGCCCCCCAUAUGCCAUGUGAGAGUACCAUGGGGACAGUGCUUGGCCCUCACACAUUUGUAAUAAAGGGGAGUUGAAUUCAAAUCUCAAUAAGACAUCAUUUAAAAAAUUUUAGUGAACUAAAACACACAUCAGAGUUUUUUUGUGGUGCAGUGGGUUAAGUCACUGCUGUGCUUGGGUCUGCUGUAGCAGAGGUUCAAGCCCUGGCUUGGGAACUUUCCCAUGCCACAGGCAUGGCCCCAAAAAUAAACCCAACAAACAAAAAACCACCACAUGUUACAAAUCCUUCACCAUCGUCAUCUGAAGCUCUGCCUGUUUGCAUCUGAAGAACCUGCCUUUAGGAAGAGGGUGUACAAGGGACAGUGUGUUCCGGAUGCAGAGGAGCGAGGACUUGGCCAGCCACCCAUGGGGCCCCCGGUCCUGUCUUGGGCUGUGUCUCCUCUGUGUCAUUGCUGUCCUUGCUGGCGCAUCUGGGAUGCCAGUGUAAUUCCUCUCCACCCCUGCUCCCCUCCCCUCUUCCUGACGGUUGGGGAUGGGGCUGUUUUCUGGGUGGUCUCUGCUCCUGUGGCAGCAAGGGCCCUUCAGGAUGCUAUGGGUCCCAAGAGCACACGGCCCCCAGAGGUCACAGUGUCGGGGCUGUGACAAGUGCUCGGGCUGCCUCAUCACCGCCAUGGGAUGUCCCCAAGAUCCCGCUUGGGACGGUGUGGUGGGUGGCCUGGGACCUCAGAGGCCCCAUUCCUGUUCUGGAGCUCAGAGAGUGCGUCUUCAGUAGGCUUCGAUUCGCCCCGUAUCUCACAGCAGCCCCUUCUUCUGUCCUGCCUUGAAUGUAGGAAAACGUCCACUGAUCAUUGUCCGUAACAUAGGCUGCUCCUGCCAAUAUUAGGAGUCUUUAAUUUAGGCGUCCUGGGAUAGCAGCUGUUUUUAGGCCUAAAGAAGGAACAGCUCGAGUAUAAAACAUUUUCAAAUGAAAUACUUCAUGACUCUCUCCAUACUGCUCGGUUGUCAACUAUGAGUCAUAAUUCUCCUGGUUUUAGAUCUGAUGUGGGGAUUAUUGAAGAGCCAAGAUUUAAACCUUCAUAAUCUGUGUAUUUGUAGCUUCAGUAUCAGUGGCGACCUGUAGUUUUUACAGUUAACGAAGAGUUAUUGAUGGCAUGUAGCUUGUAAAAGAUUCAUAAUGACGAUAGGGCAAUUAAAAUUAGAAUAAUGGCUGAUAAAUGGCUCAUAUGUCUCUACUUGUGCAUCAGUUGUACGUGUGUGAAUCAGUUUAGUUGUCAAAUUAGUGAAAUAAUAUAGAGGACUAGAGAACUUAU
rnacentral:lncRNA from 1 species